AUUGAACGCUAGCGGCAUGCCUAACACAUGCAAGUCGAACGGCAGCACGAGGAGCUUGCUCCUUGGUGGCGAGUGGCGGACGGGUGAGUAACGCGUAGGAAUCUGCCUCGUAGUGGGGGACAACCCGGGGAAGCUCGGGCUAAUACCGCAUAAUCUCUUCGGAGCAAAGUUGGGGACCUUCGGGCCUAACACUAUGAGAUGAGCCUGCGUUGGAUUAGCUAGUUGGUGGGGUAAAGGCCUACCAAGGCGACGAUCCAUAGCUGGUCUGAGAGGACGACCAGCCACACUGGGACUGAGACACGGCCCAGACUCCUACGGGAGGCAGCAGUGGGGAAUAUUGGACAAUGGGCGAAAGCCUGAUCCAGCAAUGUCGCGUGUGUGAAGAAGGCCUUCGGGUUGUAAAGCACUUUUAGUGGGGAAGAAAAAGACAAGGAUAAUACCCUUGGAAAUUGACGUUACCCACAGAAAAAGCACUGGCUAACUCUGUGCCAGCCGCCGCCGUAA
rnacentral:rRNA from 1 species